rnacentral:misc_RNA from 1 species
GUUAUAGCUAGCAAGAGCUCCCUGGUUAGGAUCUUGCCCAUGGAUUGUUCAUCUUCCAGUUCUUGUAUUGUUGUGCUGCAAAUAAUCAUGGGUUGUUAAUAAUUUCCCUUCUGCUAUUAUUGGUUUCUUGAUGUUUUACUUACUCCACUGUUGGGUAAUUGAUAUUUCUUGGUUAUCUCUGUUUUAGUUUGUGCUGGUUUUCCUUUCCAAAAUUCUAUAUAUUUGAGUUUAUUUGAAUACACUGAGUUUGUCAACUUUUGCUGCUACUCAGUCAAUAAGUUUUAAAAAUUUUGGUUUAUGAAAGUUUGGUGAUUUCUUCUUGUCAGCUCUGUGCUCCUCAUGUUGGUCAUUUCCUUUGUAUUUGAUGAAUUUAUGUUUAAGGGUUUCUGUUCCAUUUAUCUAACAUUUGAAUUGUUGGAGCUCUUCUGUUAGGAUAUUUAGCUAAAUUUCUUAUCUAGCAGCAUUCAGUAGUGUCUAGAGCAUAACUGCAUAAUCCAUUUACCAAUGGAACUCGAAAAAAUUGGAAGUCCCUAUGUUUAUGGAAUGCUUUCUUAUUGUUAGAUCCCAUAUUCUUUAAAGAAUUUUCACUUCUUUUCACAUAUUUGUUCUUUCUUCUAGAUUUUCUAGAAAAUAAUGGAGGA